rnacentral:rRNA from 1 species
AUACGGAGGAUACAAGAGUUAUCCGGAUUUAUUGGGUUUAAAGGGUGCGUAGGCGGACUGGUAAGUCAGCUGUGAAAGUUUGCGGCUUAACCGUAAAAUUGCAGUUGAUACUGUCAGUCUUGAGUGUGCAUGAGGUGGGCGGAAUUUGUGGUGUAGCGGUGAAAUGCUUAGAUAUCACGAGGAACUCCAAUUGCGAAGGCAGCUCACUGGGGCAUAACUGACGCUGAUGCACGAAGGUGUGGGUAUCAAACAGGAUUAGAUACCCUGGUAGUCCACACAGUAAACUGUGAGUACUCGCUGUUUGCGAUAUACAGUAAGCGGCCAAGCGAAAGCAUUAAGUAUUCCGCCUGGGGAGUACGCCGGCAACGGUGAAACUCAAAGGAAUUGGCGGGG